rnacentral:rRNA from 1 species
AUUGAACGCUGGCGGCAUGCUUUACACAUGCAAGUCGAACGGUAACAGGCCGCAAGGUGCUGACGAGUGGCGAACGGGUGAGUAAUGCAUCGGAACGUGCCCAGUCGUGGGGGAUAACGCAGCGAAAGCUGCGCUAAUACCGCAUACGAUCUAUGGAUGAAAGCGGGGGACCGUAAGGCCUCGCGCGAUUGGAGCGGCCGAUGUCAGCUUAGGUAGUUGGUGGGGUAAAGGCUCACCAAGCCAACGAUCUGUAGCUGGUCUGAGAGGACGACCAGCCACACUGGGACUGAGAACCGGCCCAGACUCCUACGGGAGGCAGCAGUGGGGAAUUUUGGACAAUGGGCGCAAGCCUGAUCCAGCAAUGCCGCGUGCAGGAAGAAGGCCUUCGGGUUGUAAACUGCUUUUGUACGGAACGAAACGGUCUGGGUUAAUACCUCGGGCUAAUGACGGUACCGUAAGAAUAAGCACCGGCUAACUACGUGCCAGCAGCCGCCGUAAUAC